AUGGGAACACAGGAAGAUAGGUAGUACAGAAUUAAUAUCAAAUGGGACUAGAGAACCGAAUUCUAUAGUCCAUGUUGCCCUUUGUGUUGCUGAUGUCUGGUAAUUUUUAGAUGAAAUAAGCAUUUAGGAGUUUAUCAUUUGAAGUCAGUACACAGUAUUUACACCAUUAUGCUCAGUCUAUAGCUAGGCACAAUUUGUUGCCAAAUCAUUGUAGAAAAUGGAAUUGGAAAUCAAUAUAUUUGAGUACACUUUCAGGAAUAUUUAUGAAAUGCCCUGUCAAUGAAAGUACAAUAAGAAAGUAAAAUAUAAUAUUCAUUUAAUUACAGGACUGUAGGGAAAAUACUGGCCUUUGUGAUACAUAGAUAACCAAGAAAAUUGAACUCUAUGUCACUGGAAUGAACCUGGGAAUAAAAAUAUUAUCUAGAAGAACCUCCUACACUAGAUGUUCCUUAAACUUUUCUACCCAUGCCAAGGCCCUUAUUAACUUUUUCCAUCCCAAGCAUGUAACUGCUUAAAAAAUCAAAGAGAAAUCUCUAGCUUAAGAGAGAUGGAGUAUGUAAAGGUUUCCACUGUGUCACAGGAGACAUACAUGGAAUGGGCACCCUCGAAUCUGGUCUAUGUAAGGAAAGCUGUUUAGCAGGUAUACCAUUGAACUUCUCAAUGACAUAAUCAUUAGGCCCUCCCUGAAACAUCUCUUGUAACCUGGAAAGCCCUAGCUUCUGUGAUGUCACAAUAUUGUUGUGACUGAAACUCCCUAUCAGAUAUCACUUCAGUACCUCUAGUGUUUACUAAUUGAAUUCUAAUUCAGAGUAAACAGCCAUUUUGGAGUGAAAGCAAAGAGGAUGAAGAGAUCAGAGAUGGGGAGAAGGAUGCUGGCCUUCUUUCUUGAUAUAAAAAAAGGAAGAAAUACAUGGUCCUUGGGAAAGCUCACAAAACUCUCAAAUAUCAUCCUGGGUGACGAUGUAGAUUAGACCCAUCAGAUGAAAUGAAGAAUUGAAAAACUCUCCUGGGGAUGAAAAUGAACCAGAAUUUUGCCACAGAUAUACAUACGGAGUGCGAGCCACUGUUCAGUGCAUUCCUGCUUGGCUUUAUUUCAUUCAGUGCCUGUGCUGGUACUGUGACACAAGAAGAGCCUUUUCUCAUCCAGUAAAUGCUGCCUGGCAAAUACUCUACGACUUUCUUCAUCGUGACAUUUCCAGCCCUUUACAGCACCCACAAAGAACAAAGUCACUCUGACACCAUGGUGUUCUUUUACCUGUGGUCAUCCUUUGCAUCAUCAGCUCCUGCUAUAUCCUCAUCUGGGAUCUCAAGAUGGACUGGGGUUUCUUUGAUAAGAAUGCAGGAGAUAACAAUUUCCUCUGUCAAGAAAUUUUAUACCCCCAAAAAGCAUGUGUGGAACAUUUACACUUAUCUUAGAUAUAUCUUUAGAUAGGUCAUACAGCAGUACUGACACAGGUCUAGUUAACUAAUAUGAUUACAAAACAAUUAUCCCAGAUACCAAUAUAGUCCACAAAACACCGUAUCUGUUUCUUUUUUGUGUAGUAGAGCCAGUGGGACAUUUGUUAGAAUUGAGUGCCAACCCAAUAAAAGUGGGAGAAAAAAUAUAUAUGUCAUAUAUUGUAUAUAAUAUAUUUUAUAUUAUAUUAUAUUAUUUAUGAUUUUACUGGCAUAUUAGAGUUACAGGGCUAAGAGAUGCUGAAUUUUAAAUUAAAAGAACAAGAAUCCUUAAACAGAUGAUUUAGUAAAGGUAAAUGUGAUUAGAUAUUGAAAACAUUGAGCCAUGAACUGGGAAUCUAGCUGUCCUUAUCCAAUCGCAGCUGUACACC